CCUACGGGCUGCAGCAGUGGGGAAUAUUGCACAAUGGGCGCAAGCCUGAUGCAGCCAUGCCGCGUGUAUGAAGAAGGCCUUCGGGUUGUAAAGUACUUUCAGCGGGGAGGAAGGCGAUAAGGUUAUUAACCUUGUCGAUUGACGUUACCCGCAGAAGAAGCACCGGCUAACUCCGUGCCAGCAGCCGCGGUAAUACGGAGGGUGCAAGCGUUAAUCGGAAUUACUGGGCGUAAAGCGCACGCAGGCGGUCUGUCAAGUCGGAUGUGAAAUCCCCGGGCUCAACCUGGGAACUGCAUUCGAAACUGGCAGGCUAGAGUCUUGUAGAGGGGGGUAGAAUUCCAGGUGUAGCGGUGAAAUGCGUAGAGAUCUGGAGGAAUAACGGUGGCGAAGGAGGCCCCCUGGACAAAGACUGACGCUCAGGUGCGAAAGCGUGGGGAGCAAACAGGAUUAGAUACACUAGUAGUC
rnacentral:rRNA from 1 species